rnacentral:rRNA from 1 species
UUCGUAGGGGGCAAGCGUUGUCCGGAUUUAUUGGGCGUAAAGAGCUUGUAGGCGGUUCGUCGCGUCGUUUGUGAAAACUUGGGGCUCAACCUUAAGCUUGCAGGCGAUACGGGCGGACUAGAGUACUGGAGAGGGUCGUGGAAUUCCCGGUGUAGCGGUGAAAUGCGUAGAGAUCGGGAGGAACACCAGAGGCGAAGGCGGCGACCUGGACAGAUACUGACACUAAACUACGAAAGCGUGGGGAGCAAACAGG